UUUCCUAGUAUUUUGAAGUAGGCAAAAUAAUCCAUAGAGGAAAUUGGGGCACUAAGAAUUUCCUGGUUUCCAUCUUUUAGAGGGGAUUUCACAAACUGAACCAGAAGAGGUAUUGAAUGAGGUUGAAAAUGAUUGAGGGUCUGCACUGAAUGCAUGCCUUUAUCUGAUAAAAUCUGGCAAAACCUGCAAAACAAGGAGCAAGGAGUAAGUUGCUUGUUUCACCUUAACUCUAAACUGUAAAUUGUUUGACUGGACCAAGGCUCUUUAGUGACACCAGGAGCCGCAACAAUUAAUGUGUCUUACAAUAUCAGAGGCUUGGAGCAGGAUCUUUGACUGUUCUCAAAUGCUUGUCUUUUACACCUAGAUCUGAGUAAGAAACAGCUGAGUAUUUGUAUACUUUUUCUGCCAGAAAUGUUAUCCUGAGUCACCUUUAUGCUUGUGGACACUAGGUGGAAAAUAAGGCCUUGUCAGUGUGGUGAUUUUCUCAUUUUUCUCCUCCAGCACUGACUUCUCCCCUCUAUUCAUCAGUAGCUUUUCAGAGCACUACAGGUCAAUGUGUUAAAAGGUCAGCAUGUGUUUCACAAGCCUGUUAUGCUCUGUGUCCCUCCUCUUCUGAAGUUUAAAGAGAAACUCUGCUCCAGUCUUGUAAAAUUCAUGGAGAGGACUAAUAUUGCUGUAAUUGCAUAAUUGAGAUCAGAAACUGUCUUCGGCCCUACAUGCCAUGUCAAAAGCAUGGCAAGUGCAUGGUGACUGGCAGAGCUCAAUCAAGAAAAAUAAUCAGCAAAUGGGAAUGGGAAUUAUGUUGAAAAUAUUGUUCUUUUUUUUUUUUUUUAUAUUGCAUGAAUCUUAACAAAAUUAUCUACCUGGAAAUCCUGACUGUCAUCUGAGACUGAGAGGAAUGACUUUUCAUGCCCUUGCUUGAUGAACAGAGCAAAUUGUGUUCACUCAAACAGGAUUUCUUAUUUAGAGCUAGUGUUUGUAAUAAACCACCUUGUCUGCAUGCCAAGAGAUUGCCACAGAGAGAAACAAAUUGCUGCUGAUGACAGAGGAAAGAAGUCUUCAGAAAGCUUGUGAUGAGAUGAUGUGAGGGACUUGGCAGUCUUACAUUGGAGCAAGAUAAUUGAUUUGAGUUUGUUAUGACACUGCAACUUGUUACAACAAAGCAGCCCUGUGCAAGAGGAGACCAGGCACAUUCCCAGAAGAGUAACAAUCCAAAGUUUACACUUCCAGUGAAAUGCUGUCUGAGGAGUGCUGGAAAAAGAAAGAUACAGUGUGGGUGGGAAGAGAGAGAGAGAGACACCACAUCUUGAGAAACACCAUGACUUACCAACGCUGUGUCAAAGCUUUUCUUUCAGCUAAGGAGUCAGCAGCAGAAGAGGACCAAGGAAGGUGAAUUCCAACACCUAGCAACAUGUACAAGGUACAAGAGUGAAGUCCUGGAGCUGACCUAGGAAUAUUUGCUGUAUUUCUGCAUCAGGAGUGAGAGCCAGAGCUUUCAUUUUCCAUUUCAAAAUGGAAGAUUAAGAUCAUUGAUAAGAAGAAAAAAAGGCAGAUGUUAUCUUCUUGUCUUGUAGGAGGAUUCUUUCCCCCUCCCUCCCAAUCAACUCUAAUUCAGAGUUGAUACUUAAGGUGAAAAAAAGAGAGGAAGGAAAAAUCAAAAGAAACCAGAAUAUAUAGCCAACCUUUUUAAUUAGAGUAUAUUGUACUUCCAAACUGGAUACACUAGAAAUUGGCAAUGCAACAUAAGAUGCAAAGAAAUAUACCAGUUACUGUCAAAAUGACCCUGUACAGCCUUAUAAUGCAAAAAGCUUUAUACAAUACAAAUUUUUAUUAAUGUACACAAACCUUGACAGAAUGAUAUUUGAACAUAAUACAACAAUUUAAAAAAAAAAAGGAAGAAAGAAAAAAGUGCUGAGAACUUCAACUGAAUUACUGAAUGGAAAAAACACGCCAGCUUUUGUUAAAGAAUGCAUAGUGAAAACCAGUAUGAAAUUACCUUUAUGGUGGGGGGAAUUUAUCAGAACUGUUGGUCAUUAAUCAGUAGGGGGAACCUCUGGAAAUCAUUCCUGUCUUUAGUCUUGAACUGCAAACAAUUUAUUUAAUAUGCAAGAGCUCUGAUAAAUAGUGUAUUUUUUUUUCUUAAAAAAAUAAAAACCUCCUAACACA